UGCAGAAGUAAUUAUAAACACGUCUUUCAACCUAUCGAGAAUAAACACUGAACAUCAUAGCUACUAACAAGUAUGAUACCACAAGUGAACGGCGUCGUUUUACAAUAUCCAAGAGGAAGAGGGGGUGUCAAAGACAGAGUUUACGCGCACAUAAAUGUCCGACAUUGAACAUGUCAAAGCAUGCACUCAGGAAUGCGAUGUUUGCAAGGAACAGAUGGAGAGAAGGCAGAGAUUUCUAAGAAGGACUAGUAGAUAUUUCUAACAUUUUGUCCCUUGAACAAUAAGUUGUUUUUCGAAAUUUUCACACCUCUCCACGAUGAAGUUUACCAGAUUACGGAUGCUUUUAAAUCUUUAACUAUAGUAAUGGUAUCAUGAAUUAUGGAGGAUACCUACUUUGAAUAAUAAU